GAAAUGCGCUAAGUAGUGUGAAUUGCAGAAUUCAGUGAAUCAUCGAAUCUUUGAACGCACAUUGCGCCCCUUGGUAUUCCAUGGGGCAUGCCUGUUCGAGCGUCAUUUGUACCCUCAAGCUCUGCUUGGUGUUGGGUGUUUGUCCCGUCUCCGCGCGUGGACUCGCCCCAAAGUGAUUGGCAGCCGGCGUACUGGUCCCGGAGCGCAGCACAUGUCGCGCAAACGAGUGCCUUGGUACGGCGGCGUCCAUAAGCCCCUCUCUCACGCUCUUGACCUCGGAUCAGGUAGGGAUACCCGCUGAACUUAAGC
rnacentral:misc_RNA from 1 species